rnacentral:rRNA from 1 species
CUCAGGAUGAACGCUAGCUACAGGCUUAACACAUGCAAGUCGAGGGGCAGCAUGAACUUAGCUUGCUAAGUUUGAUGGCGACCGGCGCACGGGUGAGUAACACGUAUCCAACCUGCCGAUGACUCGGGGAUAGCCUUUCGAAAGAAAGAUUAAUACCCGAUGGCAUAGUUCUUCCGCAUGGUAGAACUAUUAAAGAAUUUCGGUCAUCGAUGGGGAUGCGUUCCAUUAGGUUGUUGGCGGGGUAACGGCCCACCAAGCCUUCGAUGGAUAGGGGUUCUGAGAGGAAGGUCCCCCACAUUGGAACUGAGACACGGUCCAAACUCCUACGGGAGGCAGCAGUGAGGAAUAUUGGUCAAUGGACGAGAGUCUGAACCAGCCAAGUAGCGUGAAGGAUGACUGCCCUAUGGGUUGUAAACUUCUUUUAUACGGGAAUAAAGUGAGGCAUGUGUGCCUUUUUGUAUGUACCGUAUGAAUAAGGAUCGGCUAACUCCGUG